rnacentral:rRNA from 1 species
AGACGGGCGCAGGGUGGAUGCCUUGGCGAUGGCGGCCGAGGAAGGACGCGGCCACGCGGCGAAAUGUCUGGGGGAGGCGCUGGCAGCCUGUGAUCCCAGAGAAUCCGAAUGGGGCAACCCGGUGGGCGCACGGCCCAUCACCCGGUGUAGGCCGGGAGGGAACCGCGGGAAGUGAAACAUCUGAGUACCGCGAGGAAAAGAGAAGAUUCCCCUAGUAGCGGCGAGCGACCGGGGAGGAGCCCAAACU